rnacentral:rRNA from 1 species
GGGCUGCGAAUGUACUAGGAUGGGUGACCCCCUGGGAGUCCUCGUGUUGCACCC